UUGAUUAUUGUAUCUGACUCAGACUUCACAUUCGAUGGAGUUGUUGGGUCCUCUGGCGGGCGCGGGCCGGCCGGGGCCGGCGGUGAGUCGCCCCACGGGCCCGCCAAAGCAACAUAGAAGGUACACACGGGUUGGAGAUUCGGGCCAGAGACCCUAACUCGGUAAUGAUCCUUCCGCAGGUUCACCUACGGAAA
rnacentral:misc_RNA from 1 species